rnacentral:rRNA from 1 species
CACGGAGGGGGUUAGCGUUGUUCGGAAUUACUGGGCGUAAAGCGCGCGUAGGCGGAUUAGAAAGUUGGGGGUGAAAUCCCGGGGCUCAACCUCGGAACUGCCUCCAAAACUGCUAGUCUAGAGUUCGAGAGAGGUGAGUGGAAUUCCGAGUGUAGAGGUGAAAUUCGUAGAUAUUCGGAGGAACACCAGUGGCGAAGGCGGCUCACUGGCUCGAUACUGACGCUGAGGUGCGAAAGUGUGGGGAGCAAACAGG